GGUUAAGCGACUAAGCGUACACGGUGGAUGCCCUGGCAGUCAGAGGCGAUGAAGGACGUGCUAAUCUGCGAUAAGCGUCGGUAAGGUGAUAUGAACCGUUAUAACCGGCGAUUUCCGAAUGGGGAAACCCAGUGUGAUUCGUCACACUAUCAUUAACUGAAUCCAUAGGUUAAUGAGGCGAACCGGGGGAACUGAAACAUCUAAGUACCCCGAGGAAAAGAAAUCAACCGAGAUUCCCCCAGUAGCGGCGAGCGAACGGGGAGCAGCCCAGAGCCUGAAUCAGUGUGUGUGUUAGUGGAAGCGUCUGGAAAGGCGCGCGAUACAGGGUGACAGCCCCGUACACAAAAAUGCACAUGCUGUGAGCUCGAUGAGUAGGGCGGGACACGUGGUAUCCUGUCUGAAUAUGGGGGGACCAUCCUCCAAGGCUAAAUACUCCUGACUGACCGAUAGUGAACCAGUACCGUGAGGGAAAGGCGAAAAGAACCCCGGCGAGGGGAGUGAAAAAGAACCUGAAACCGUGUACGUACAAGCAGUGGGAGCCUCUUUAUGGGGUGACUGCGUACCUUUUGUAUAAUGGGUCAGCGACUUAUAUUCUGUAGCAAGGUUAACCGAAUAGGGGAGCCGAAGGGAAACCGAGUCUUAACUGGGCGUUAAGUUGCAGGGUAUAGACCCGAAACCCGGUGAUCUAGCCAUGGGCAGGUUGAAGGUUGGGUAACACUAACUGGAGGACCGAACCGACUAAUGUUGAAAAAUUAGCGGAUGACUUGUGGCUGGGGGUGAAAGGCCAAUCAAACCGGGAGAUAGCUGGUUCUCCCCGAAAGCUAUUUAGGUAGCGCCUCGUGAAUUCAUCUCCGGGGGUAGAGCACUGUUUCGGCAAGGGGGUCAUCCCGACUUACCAACCCGAUGCAAACUGCGAAUACCGGAGAAUGUUAUCACGGGAGACACACGGCGGGUGCUAACGUCCGUCGUGAAGAGGGAAACAACCCAGACCGCCAGCUAAGGUCCCAAAGUCAUGGUUAAGUGGGAAACGAUGUGGGAAGGCCCAGACAGCCAGGAUGUUGGCUUAGAAGCAGCCAUCAUUUAAAGAAAGCGUAAUAGCUCACUGGUCGAGUCGGCCUGCGCGGAAGAUGUAACGGGGCUAAACCAUGCACCGAAGCUGCGGCAGCGACGCUGAUGCGUUGUUGGGUAGGGGAGCGUUCUGUAAGCCUGUGAAGGUGUGCUGUGAGGCAUGCUGGAGGUAUCAGAAGUGCGAAUGCUGACAUAAGUAACGAUAAAGCGGGUGAAAAGCCCGCUCGCCGGAAGACCAAGGGUUCCUGUCCAACGUUAAUCGGGGCAGGGUGAGUCGACCCCUAAGGCGAGGCCGAAAGGCGUAGUCGAUGGGAAACAGGUUAAUAUUCCUGUACUUGGUGUUACUGCGAAGGGGGGACGGAGAAGGCUAUGUUGGCCGGGCGACGGUUGUCCCGGUUUAAGCGUGUAGGCUGGUUUUCCAGGCAAAUCCGGAAAAUCAAGGCUGAGGCGUGAUGACGAGGCACUACGGUGCUGAAGCAACAAAUGCCCUGCUUCCAGGAAAAGCCUCUAAGCAUCAGGUAACAUCAAAUCGUACCCCAAACCGACACAGGUGGUCAGGUAGAGAAUACCAAGGCGCUUGAGAGAACUCGGGUGAAGGAACUAGGCAAAAUGGUGCCGUAACUUCGGGAGAAGGCACGCUGAUAUGUAGGUGAAGUCCCUCGCGGAUGGAGCUGAAAUCAGUCGAAGAUACCAGCUGGCUGCAACUGUUUAUUAAAAACACAGCACUGUGCAAACACGAAAGUGGACGUAUACGGUGUGACGCCUGCCCGGUGCCGGAAGGUUAAUUGAUGGGGUUAGCGCAAGCGAAGCUCUUGAUCGAAGCCCCGGUAAACGGCGGCCGUAACUAUAACGGUCCUAAGGUAGCGAAAUUCCUUGUCGGGUAAGUUCCGACCUGCACGAAUGGCGUAAUGAUGGCCAGGCUGUCUCCACCCGAGACUCAGUGAAAUUGAACUCGCUGUGAAGAUGCAGUGUACCCGCGGCAAGACGGAAAGACCCCGUGAACCUUUACUAUAGCUUGACACUGAACAUUGAGCCUUGAUGUGUAGGAUAGGUGGGAGGCUUUGAAGUGUGGACGCCAGUCUGCAUGGAGCCGACCUUGAAAUACCACCCUUUAAUGUUUGAUGUUCUAACGUUGACCCGUAAUCCGGGUUGCGGACAGUGUCUGGUGGGUAGUUUGACUGGGGCGGUCUCCUCCUAAAGAGUAACGGAGGAGCACGAAGGUUGGCUAAUCCUGGUCGGACAUCAGGAGGUUAGUGCAAUGGCAUAAGCCAGCUUGACUGCGAGCGUGACGGCGCGAGCAGGUGCGAAAGCAGGUCAUAGUGAUCCGGUGGUUCUGAAUGGAAGGGCCAUCGCUCAACGGAUAAAAGGUACUCCGGGGAUAACAGGCUGAUACCGCCCAAGAGUUCAUAUCGACGGCGGUGUUUGGCACCUCGAUGUCGGCUCAUCACAUCCUGGGGCUGAAGUAGGUCCCAAGGGUAUGGCUGUUCGCCAUUUAAAGUGGUACGCGAGCUGGGUUUAGAACGUCGUGAGACAGUUCGGUCCCUAUCUGCCGUGGGCGCUGGAGAACUGAGGGGGGCUGCUCCUAGUACGAGAGGACCGGAGUGGACGCAUCACUGGUGUUCGGGUUGUCAUGCCAAUGGCACUGCCCGGUAGCUAAAUGCGGAAGAGAUAAGUGCUGAAAGCAUCUAAGCACGAAACUUGCCCCGAGAUGAGUUCUCCCUGACUCCUUGAGAGUCCUGAAGGAACGUUGAAGACGACGACGUUGAUAGGCCGGGUGUGUAAGCGCAGCGAUGCGUUGAGCUAACCGGUACUAAUGAACCGUGAGGCUUAACCUU
rnacentral:rRNA from 1 species